rnacentral:misc_RNA from 1 species
UUUCCGUAGGUGAACCUGCGGAAGGAUCAUUACCGAGUGAGGGCCCUCUGGGUCCAACCUCCCACCCGUGUUUAUUUACCUUGUUGCUUCGGCGAGCCUGCCUUUUGGCUGCCGGGGGACGUCAGUCCCCGGGUCCGUGCUCGCCGGAGACACCUUAGAGCUCUGUCUGAAGAUUGUAGUCUGAGAUUAAAUAUAAAUUAUUUAAAACUUUCAACAACGGAUCUCUUGGUUCCG